rnacentral:rRNA from 1 species
GACGAACGCUGGCGGCGUGCUUAACACAUGCAAGUCGAACGGAAAGGCCCUGCUUGCAGGGUACUCGAGUGGCGAACGGGUGUGUAACACGUGGGUGAUCUGCCCUGCACUUCGGGAUAAGCCUGGGAAACUGGGUCUAAUACCGGAUAGGAGCCAUUUUUAGUGUGAUGGUUGGAAAGUUUUGUCGGUGUAGGAUGAGCUCGCGGCCUAUCAGCUUGUUGGUGGGGUAAUGGCCUACCAAGGCGGCGACGGGUAGCCGGCCUGAGAGGGUGGACGGCCACAUUGGGACUGAGAUACGGCCCAGACUCCUACGGGAGGCAGCAGUGGGGAAUAUUGCACAAUGGGCGCAAGCCUGAUGCAGCGACGCCGCGUGGGGGAGGACGGCCUUCGGGUUGUAAACUCCUUUCGCUAGGGACGAAGCUUUUUGUGACGGUACCUAGAUAAGAAGCACCGGCUAACUACGUG